CGCCCCUUUUUUUUUGUUUUUCUCCAUGCACAAGACCUCUCUUUUGGGUGUCAUUAUCUGAUAGAAAUUUGUUCUUAGCCAUCCCAAGAUUGUGGAAUUUUAUAGGUAUAAAAGAGUUUCAAUUUGAAUAGGAGAUAGAGUCCAAAGAGCCUUGGACUCUAUUCUCUUUGUGCUGCCCAUAUACAAUCAGAUCUCAACCCAAUUUUUACAUGGUAAAUCAAGAAAAAAAUCCUUCUUUCUUACACACUAAAUAGGGGAGGAGAAGUGGCAUUAAUUCCUAGUAGGCGUGGGUUUAUUUAGGCACACAAAUCAGGUUUAAGUUUGGAUUCCUUUUGGCAC
rnacentral:lncRNA from 1 species